rnacentral:rRNA from 1 species
UCCAGACUCCUACGGGAGGCAGCAGUGAGGAAUAUUGGUCAAUGGGCGCGAGCCUGAACCAGCCAAGUCGCGUGAGGGAAGACGGUCCUAUGGAUUGUAAACCUCUUUUGUCGGGGAGCAAAGGACGCCACGCGUGGCGUUCCGAGAGUACCCGAAGAAAAAGCAUCGGCUAACUCCGUGCCAGCAGCCGCGGUAAUACGGAGGAUGCGAGCGUUAUCCGGAUUUAUUGGGUUUAAAGGGUGCGCAGGCGGCGAGUUAAGUCAGCGGUAAAAUUUCGGGGCUCAACCCCGUACUGCCGUUGAAACUGCAUCCCUUGAGUGCGCGAGAAGUAUGCGGAAUGCGUGGUGUAGCGGUGAAAUGCAUAGAUAUCACGCAGAACUCCGAUUGCGAAGGCAGCAUACCGGCGCGCAACUGACGCUCAUGCACGAAAGCGUGGGUAUCGAACAGGAUUAGAUACCCUAGUA